UAAUAUACCUAGCAGAGAAGAUUGCAUGAUCAUGAAGGUGGUUUUCUCAAGGUGAGGCCUGUCCCUUACACUUUGGGCAGGAUGACCCCUAUGAGUUUCCCUAAAUGUGGGAAACUAAACUGGACAAUUCUGUGGCAAUGGGGGACUGUAUUUACACUCCUCAG
rnacentral:snRNA from 1 species